UACAGAGGGUGCAAGCGUUAAUCGGAGUUACUGGGCGUAAAGGGCGCGUAGGUUGUUAUUUAAGUUGGAUGUAAAAACCCUGGGCUUAACCUGGGACUGUCAUUCAAGACUGAAUAACUGGAGUGCUGUAGAGGAUAGUGGAAUUUCCGGUGUAGCGGUGAAAUGCGUAGAGAUCGGAAGGAACACCAGUGGCGAAGGCGACUAUCUGGGCAGCAACUGACACUGAGGCGCGAGAGCGUGGGGAGCAAACAGG
rnacentral:rRNA from 1 species